rnacentral:rRNA from 1 species
GGCUCAGAACGAACGCUGGCGGCAAGCUUAACACAUGCAAGUCGAACGAAUUAUUCCCAUAGCUUGCUAUGAGAAUAAUUAGUGGCAGACGGGUGAGUAAUGCAUAGGAAUCUACCUAGUAGUAUAGGAUAGCCACUAGAAGUGGUGGGUAAUACUGUAUAAUCCCUGCGGGGGAAAGAUUUAUCGCUACAUGAUGAGCCUAUGUUAGAUUAGCUAGUUGGUAGGGUAAAGGCCUACCAAGGCAGUGAUCUAUAGCUGGUCUGAGAGGAUGAUCAGCCACACUGGAACUGAGACACGGUCCAGACUCCUACGGGAGGCAGCAGUGGGGAAUAUUGGACAAUGGGCGCAAGCCUGAUCCAGCUAUGCCGCGUGAGUGAGGAAGGCCUUAGGGUUGUAAAGCUCUUUCAGUGGGGAAGAUAAUGACGGUACCCACAGAAGAAGUCCCGGCAAACUCCGUGCCAGCAGCCGCGGUAAUACGGAGGGGGCAAGCGUUGUUCGGAAUUAUUGGGCGUAAAGGGCAUGUAGGUGGUCUAGUUAGUUAAAGGUGAAAUGCCAGGGCUUAACCCUGGAGCUGCUUUUAAUACUGCUAGACUGGAGUCCGGGAGAGGAUAGCGGAAUUCCUA